ensembl:snRNA U6 U6 spliceosomal RNA
AUGCUGUCUGCGGCAGCACAUACACUAAAACUGGAGUGAUGCAGAGAAUAUUAGCAUGGCCCUUAUGCAAGGACACACAAAUCCGGAAGCAUUCCACAUUUUA